ACGGGAGUACUCCUUCUAAGCUAAAUAUCACCACGAGACCGAUAGCGAACAAGUACCGUGAGGGAAAGUUGAAAAGCACUCUGAAUAGAGAGUCAAAAAGUACGUGAAACUGCCUAGGGCUCAAACCCGUUGAACUCGAUUAUCCUCGGCGGAGGUAUUCACUUGUGGCCGGGCCUCAGAAACCCCGCCACACGGCACUUACCUCCCGCCUGCGCGGACAUUGCGAUCCAUUACGAGAACGCUCUCGCAAGAGACAAUGCCCGACACCUGCCCCUUGGCGCAUGGUUGUUGGCUCCCGCAGUAGCGGCGCUCAGUUCUGAAGGCCUGCGUCGCGACCCGGGGCUUACUGCGCGUGGUGUGCAGUCGGGCGCGUGAUGGAUUCCCACGGACACCGUCUGGUAUGGCUUCGUCAUACACCCUCCCCUCGCGGGGCUGCACGGACUGUCGAUCGGCAAUGAACACAUCGAGGUACCUCCGGGACCCGUCUUGAAACACGGACCAAGAAUUCACAA
rnacentral:rRNA from 1 species